AUCAACGCUGGCGGCGCGCUUAACACAUGCAAGUCGCACGAGAAAGUGGAGCAAUCCAUGAGUACAGUGGCGUACGGGUGAGUAACACGUGGAUGAUCUACCUCUUAGUGGGGAAUAACCCUGGGAAACCGGGGCUAAUACCGCAUAAGCUCGAGAGAGGAAAGCAGCAAUGCGCUGAGAGAGGAGUCCGCGGCCGAUUAGCUAGUUGGCAGGGUAAAAGCCUACCAAGGCGAAGAUCGGUAGCCGGCCUGAGAGGGCACACGGCCACACUGGUACUGAAACACGGGCCAGACUCCUACGGGAGGCAGCAGUGGGGAAUCUUGCACAAUGGGGGAAACCCUGAUGCAGCGACGCCGCGUGAGCGAUGAAGCCCUUCGGGGUGUAAGCUCUUUCGGCAGGGAAGAUGAUGACGGUACCUGCAGAAGCAGCUGCGGCUAACUACGUGCCAGCAGCCGCGGUGAUACGUAGGCAGCGAGCGUUGUUCGGAGUUACUGGGCGUAAAGGGUGUGUAGGCGGUUGCUUAAGUUUGGUGUGAAAUCUCCCGGCUCAACUGGGAGGGUGCGCCGAAUACUGAGCGGCUAGAGUGCGGGAGAGGAAAGUGGAAUUCCUGGUGUAGCGGUGAAAUGCGUAGAUAUCAGGAGGAACACCGGUGGUGUAGACGGCUUUCUGGACCGUAACUGACGCUGAGACACGAAAGCGUGGGUAGCAAACAGGAUUAGAUACCCUGGUAGUCCACGCCCUAAACGAUGCAUAUUUGGUGUGGGCAGUUCAUUCUGUCCGUGCCGGAGCUAACGCGUUAAAUAUGCCGCCUGGGGAGUACAGUCGCAAUGGCUGAAACUCAAAGGAAUUGACGGGGGCCCGCACAAGCGGUGGAGCAUGUGGUUCAAUUCGACGCAACGCGAAGAACCUUACCCAGGCUUGAACAGCGAGUGACCCGCGACGAAAGUCGCCUUCCGCAAGGACACUCGUAGAGGUGCUGCAUGGCUGUCGUCAGCUCGUGUCGUGAGAUGUUGGGUUAAGUCCCGCAACGAGCGCAACCCUUGCCUGCUGUUGCCAUCACGUUAUGGUGGGCACUCUGCAGAGACUGCCGGUGAUAAACCGGGGGAAGGUGGGGAUGACGUCAAGUCAGCAUGGCCUUUAUGUCUGGGGCUACACACGUGCUACAAUGGCCGAUACAAACCGUCGCGAUACCGUAAGGUGGAGCUAAUCGGAGAAAGUCGGUCUCAGUUCGGAUUGUAGGCUGCAACUCGCCUGCAUGAAGUUGGAAUCGCUAGUAAUCGCGGAUCAGCACGCCGCGGUGAAUACGUUCCCGGGCCUUGUACACACCGCCCGUCACAUCACGAAAGCCGGUUGUACUAGAAAGUCGCCACAUCAACCCGCAAGGGAGAGAGGUGCCUAAGGUAUGGUCGGUGAUUGGGGUG
rnacentral:rRNA from 1 species